CCUACGGGAGGCAGCAGUGGGGAAUAUUGCACAAUGGGGGAAACCCUGAUGCAGCGACGCCGCGUGGGUGACGAAGUAUUUCGGUAUGUAAAGCCCUAUCAGCAGGGAAGAAGAUGACAGUACCUGACUAAGAAGCCCCGGCUAACUACGUGCCAGCAGCCGCGGUAAUACGUAGGGGGCAAGCGUUAUCCGGAUUUACUGGGUGUAAAGGGAGCGUAGGUGGCAUGGCAAGCCAGAAGUGAAAACCCGGGGCUUAACCCCGCGGAUUGCUUUUGGAACUGUCAGGCUGGAGUGCAGGAGGGGCAGGCGGAAUUCCUGGUGUAGCGGUGAAAUGCGUAGAUAUCAGGAGGAACACCGGUGGCGAAGGCGGCCUGCUGGACUGUAACUGACACUGAGGCUCGAAAGCGUGGGGAGCAAACAGGAUUAGAUACCCUGGUA
rnacentral:rRNA from 1 species